UACGGGGGGGGCAAGCGUUGUUCGGAAUUACUGGGCGUAAAGGGCUCGUAGGUGGCCAACUAAGUCAGACGUGAAAUCCCUCGGCUUAACCGGGGAACUGCGUCUGAUACUGGAUGGCUUGAGUUUGGGAGAGGGAUGCGGAAUUCCUGGUGUAGCGGUGAAAUGCGCAGAUAUCAGGAGGAACACCGAUGGCGAAGGCAGGUCUCUGGGCCACUACUGACGCUGAGAAGCGAAAGCAUGGGGAGCGAACAGG
rnacentral:rRNA from 1 species